AGAGCGAACGCUGGCGGCAGGCCUAAUACAUGCAAGUCGAGCGGUCGUAGCAAUACGGCAGCGGCAGACGGGAGAGUAACACGUGGGAACGUACCUUUUGGUUCGGAACAACCCAGGGAAACUUGGGCUAAUACCGGAUAAGCCCUUACGGGGAAAGAUUUAUCGCCGAAAGAUCGGCCCGCGUCUGAUUAGCUAGUUGGUGAGGUAAUGGCUCACCAAGGCGACGAUCAGUAGCUGGUCUGAGAGGAUGAUCAGCCACAUUGGGACUGAGACACGGCCCAAACUCCUACGGGAGGCAGCAGUGGGGAAUAUUGGACAAUGGGCGCAAGCCUGAUCCAGCCAUGCCGCGUGAGUGAUGAAGGCCCUAGGGUUGUAAAGCUCUUUUGUGCGGGAAGAUAAUGACGGUACCGCAAGAAUAAGCCCGGCUAACUUCGUGCCAGCAGCCGC
rnacentral:rRNA from 1 species